UGCGCCUUGCCAGCCCGCUCAGAAACUACAAGGAAUUGACGGGGGCCCGCACAAGCGGAGGAGCAUGUGGUUUAAUUCGAUGAUACGCGAGGAACCUUACCUGGGCUUAAAUGCUUAAUGACGUACUGGGAAACUGGUAUUUCUUCGGACAUUUUGCAAGGUGCUGCAUGGUUGUCGUCAGCUCGUGCCGUGAGGUGUCGGGUUAAGUCCCAUAACGAGCGCAACCCCUAUUGUUAGUUGCCAUCAGGUCAUGCUGGGGACUCUAACAAAACUGCCCGCGUAAGCGUGGAGGAAGGUGGGGAUGACGUCAAAUCAGCACGGCCCUUACGUCCAGGGCUACACACGUGCUACAAUGGCCGGUACAGAGGGCAGCCACUUGGUGACAAGGAGCAAAUCUCAAAAGCCGGUCUCAGUUCGGAUCGGAGUCUGCAACUCGACUCCGUGAAGUUGGAUUCGCUAGUAAUCGUAGAUCAGCAAUGCUACGGUGAAUACGUUCCCGGGCCUU
rnacentral:rRNA from 1 species